rnacentral:rRNA from 1 species
AACGAACGCUGGCGGCGUGGAUAAGACAUGCAAGUCGAACGGGACUAAAUCUGUAGCAAUACAGGUUUAGUUUAGUGGCGAACGGGUGCGUAACACGUGGGCAAUCUGCCGAGAAGUGGGGGAGUAGCUCGCCGAAAGGACGAAUUAAUACCGCAUAUGAUCAGCUAAGAACAUCUUAGCGACAUCAAAGACCGGGGUAACCGUGGCGCUUCUUGAUGAGCCCGCCGGCCUAUCAGCUAGUUGGUGAGGUAACGGCUCACCAAGGCUAUGACGGGUAGCUGGUCUGAGAGGACGACCAGUC